GGUGGCACGCUGCUUAGACUUCACGGGUCCCCAACUGAACCGACCCACAUCUCCAACGGAGCUCUUUCUUUAUUACCAAACCGUGCAACCCAAGCCGACGAGGCUGACAGGAGAAGAAGGAGAGGAGGGCUGACAGGAGAAGAAGAGAGCGAAUCAAGGGAAGCGAAGAUGAUAAUGAAAAAAUGGAGUCUGCUCACAGGACCUACCAUGAUCUUUGGGGCUGUCGCCGUCGUUACCACUGCGAGGGCUUUCUUCGCCCGAGAUUACGAACGAUACCUAAAGACACCUAAGAAAGAAGCACCAGCGACAUGAAGAUGGUGAAGGCAAUCUCGAGUACAGCUUGGAUGUCCUCUAUGAAAUGAUCCUACUUUGCUGUUGACUAAAAAGGGGAUUUGGACCGAGUUGCUUGAAAAAUAAGCUGAAACCAAAAAACUGGUUGCGUCCACUCCUACUUUGACAUCUUUUGGUUCUGUUAGAACAUGUUUGGUUUAUUGUUGACAUGGUCCACUUAUUUUCUGAUGUUAUGGCUCCUGGGUUGAUCAAAUGUGUCGCCACAAAUAUUGUCUUGGCUA